rnacentral:rRNA from 1 species
UCUCGCCCAGUAGGCGGGGGACAACGUACGGGGAAACUCGAGCUAAUACCGCAUACCGCCCGUACGGGGGAAAGGCUUCGGCCACUAUUGGAUGAGCCCGCGUCGGAUUAGCUUGUUGGUGGGGUAAUGGCCUACCAAGGCGACGAUCCGUAGCUGGUCUGAGAGGAUGAUCAGCCACACUGGGACUGAGACACGGCCCAGACUCCUACGGGAGGCAGCAGUGGGGAAUAUUGGACAAUGGGCGAAAGCCUGAUCCAGCAAUGCCGCGUGUGUGAAGAAGGCCUGCGGGUUGUAAAGCACUUUCAGUAGGGAAGAUUAUGACGGUACCUACAGAAGAAGCACCGGCUAACUCCGUG